rnacentral:tRNA from 1 species
GCGGGGUAGCUCAGCUGGUAGAGCAGUGGAAUCAUAAUCCAUGGGUCGCAGGUUCGAGUCCUGCCCUCGC